AUUGAACGCUGGCGGCAUGCCUUACACAUGCCAGUCGAACGGCAGCACGGGUGCUUGCCCCUGGUGGCGAGUGGCGAACGGGUGAGUAAUACAUCGGAACAUGUCCUGUAGUGGGGGAUAGCCCGGCGAAAGCCGGAUUAAUACCGCAUACGAUCUACGGAUGAAAGCGGGGGACCUUCGGGCCUCGCGCUAUAGGGUUGGCCGAUGGCGGAUUAGCUAGUUGGUGGGGUAAAGGCCUACCAAGGCGACGAUCAGUAGCUGGUCUGAGAGGACGACCAGCCACACUGGGACUGAGACACGGCCCAGACUCCUACGGGAGGCAGCAGUGGGGAAUUUUGGACAAUGGGCGAAAGCCUGAUCCAGCAAUGCCGCGUGUGUGAAGAAGGCCUUCGGGUUGUAAAGCACUUUUGUCCGGAAAGAAAUCCUUGGCCCUAAUACGGUCGGGGGAUGACGGUACCGGAAGAAUAAGCACCGGCUAACUACGUG
rnacentral:rRNA from 1 species